rnacentral:siRNA from 1 species
GCAUGUUAGAGAAAGUGCGC